rnacentral:rRNA from 1 species
UGGGGAAUAUUGCACAAUGGGCGCAAGCCUGAUGCAGCCAUGCCGCGUGUGUGAAGAAGGCCUUCGGGUUGUAAAGCACUUUCAGCGAGGAGGAAGGUGGUGAGCUUAAUACGCUCAUCAAUUGACGUUACUCGCAGAAGAAGCACCGGCUAACUCCGUGCCAGCAGCCGCGGUAAUACGGAGGGUGCAAGCGUUAAUCGGAAUUACUGGGCGUAAAGCGCACGCAGGCGGUUUGUUAAGUCAGAUGUGAAAUCCCCGGGCUCAACCUGGGAACUGCAUUUGAAACUGGCAAGCUAGAGUCUCGUAGAGGGGGGUAGAAUUCCAGGUGUAGCGGUGAAAUGCGUAGAGAUCUGGAGGAAUACCGGUGGCGAAGGCGGCCCCCUGGACGAAGACUGACGCUCAGGUGCGAAAGCGUGGGGCAGCAAACAGGAUUAGAUACCCUGGUAGUCCACGCUGUAAACGAUGUCGAUUUGGAGGUUGUGCCCUUGAGGCGUGGCUUCCGGAGCUAACGCGUUAAAGUCGACCGCCUGGGGGAGUACGGCC